rnacentral:rRNA from 1 species
GGACCCGCACAAGCGGUGGAGCAUGUGGUUUAAUUCGAUGCAACGCGAAAAACCUUACCUAUACUUGACAUACUUGGAAUGCUUUGUAAUGAAGCAGUGCCUUCGGGAGCCAAGAUACAGGUGCUGCAUGGCUGUCGUCAGCUCGUGUCGUGAGAUGUUCCGUUAAGUCGGAUAACGAGCGCAACCCUUACCCUUAUUUGCCAGCGAUUCGGUCGGGAACUAUAAGGGGACUGCCGGUGAUAAACCGGAGGAAGGUGAGGACGACGUCAAGUCAUCAUGGCCCUUACGUAUAGGGCUACACACGUGCUACAAUGGAGAAUACAGACGGACGCUAAGCCGCGAGGUGGUGCCAAUCCUAGAAAAUUCUUCGUAGUCCGGAUUGGAGUCUGCAACUCGACUCCAUGAAGUCGGAAUC